rnacentral:tRNA from 1 species
GCCGGACCUGGUGGUGGCCGCCGGGUUCGGCGGCGGCCCGCGGGUGGCCCUGUUCGACGGGAGGACGGUGUUCGACACACCGACCCGGCU